rnacentral:rRNA from 1 species
AUGAACGCUGGCGGCGUGCCUAAUACAUGCAAGUCGAGCGAACGGACGAGAAGCUUGCUUUUCUGAUGUUAGCGGCGGACGGGUGAGUAACACGUGGAUAACCUACCUAUAAGACUGGGAUAACUUCGGGAAACCGGAGCUAAUACCGGAUAAUAUUUUGAACCGCAUGGUUCAUAAGUGAAAGACGAUCUUGCUGUCACUUAUAGAUGGAUCCGCGCUGCAUUAGCUAGUUGGUAAGGUAACGGCUUACCAAGGCAACGAUGCAUAGCCGACCUGAGAGGGUGAUCGGCCACACUGGAACUGAGACACGGUCCAGACUCCUACGGGAGGCAGCAGUAGGGAAUCUUCCGCAAUGGGCGAAAGCCUGACGGAGCAACGCCGCGUGAGUGAUGAAGGUCUUCGGAUCGUAAAACUCUGUUAUUAGGGAAGAACAUAUGUGUAAGUAACUGUGCACAUCUUGACGGUACCUAAUCAGAAAGCCACGGCUAACUACGUG